GAUGAACGCUAGCGGCAGGCCUAACACAUGCAAGUCGAGGGGUAGGGUUAGCUUGCUAACUUGAGACCGGCGCACGGGUGCGUAACGCGUAUGCAAUCUACCUUGUACAGAGGGAUAGCCCAGAGAAAUUUGGAUUAAUACCUCAUAGUAUCUUUACCUGGCAUCGGGUAAUUAUUAAAGUUCCAACGGUACAAGAUGAGCAUGCGUCCCAUUAGUUAGUUGGUAAGGUAACGGCUUACCAAGACAAUGAUGGGUAGGGGUCCUGAGAGGGAGAUCCCCCACACUGGUACUGAGACACGGUCCAGACUCCUACGGGAGGCAGCAGUGGGGAAUUUUGGACAAUGGGCGCAAGCCUGAUCCAGCAAUGCCGCGUGCAGGAUGAAGGCCUUCGGGUUGUAAACUGCUUUUGUACGGAACGAAACGGUUCUCUCUAAUACAGGGGGCUAAUGACGGUACCGUAAGAAUAAGCACCGGCUAACUACGUG
rnacentral:rRNA from 1 species